GAGCCACAACCGGUGAAGCACCCAUAUGAACAACAUCAGCGAAUAAACCGGACACCAAAAGCACCAAACCUAACAGCCCGACCGCCCAAACCUGCCAAGAGAGAGCCAACCCGACCAAACUCAGAAUGUAACCCACAGUGCAAAUGAGUGUGGCGAUGAAGGAAACACAGAUUUGCAUCUCCAAGACCAUCCGAAAGACCUUCUUGUUACCAUACCUCUUUGUCUUCACCAACACUUUGUCGAAUCCGAGCUGCAUUAAGCACAGAGACAAGGAGAAAGCAAGAGUAGGGAAUAUGAGUAUCAACCAUGCCUUGAUGUCGUAAGGAUCAGUUUCAUCUUCAUUAGGGGUUCCAGCAAAGGCAGGGCCACCAAAAAAGUCAGCCCCAAGAGUGAAGAUUAUCGAUAUGAUGAUCCAUCUGUUAAACUUGAGACGGUUUAUGAAAGCUGAGAAGAGGGAGGUGAGUAUCAAUUGAGUUGAUAACAAAAUUCCCCAUCCUACGUAUAAUUUCCCCAGCGCGUAUAACUUGCUAUAAACAGAGACAAGAACACCAAGAGAAACGUAGAGCGAGAGAACUCGAAACCAGCCAUUGUUUGUUUGAUUGGAGACUGUUUCCGGGUUUGGUUUUGGUGAAGAAAGAAUGAAGAAGAAUGGAAUUAAGAUCGGAAAGGCAGCGUUUUGGAUCAGAGCUUGUGUCCAUGUCCCUUUGUAUUGUCGGUCUUGAUCACUCUCUGAUCGAUUAUCUUGGACGUAGAAGAAGUUCAACAGAAGCAUGACAAGAGAGUCUCCGGCAAAGAUCAAGAAACCGCAGAUAAAAACAGAGAUCCACCAUUUGCGUUGAUUGAGCUCCAAGGAUCGAGGAUUCUCGCUCAUCAUUUGGCCGCGUGGUUCUGGACCUUGAAACUCUUCCAUGAGUCUCUGCUUCUUCUUCUUCUUCUUCUUUGGAUUGUCCAAAUAUGUAUA